rnacentral:tRNA from 4 species
GCGGGAAUAGCUCAGUUGGUAGAGCACGACCUUGCCAAGGUCGGGGUCGCGAGUUCGAGUCUCGUUUCCCGCC